UACGAAGGGGGCUAGCGUUGCUCGGAAUUACUGGGCGUAAAGGGCGCGUAGGCGGGCAGUUAAGUCAGAGGUGAAAGCCCAGGGCUCAACCCUGGAAUUGCCUUUGAUACUGGCUGUCUUGAGUAUGGGAGAGGUAAGCGGAACUCCGAGUGUAGAGGUGAAAUUCGUAGAUAUUCGGAAGAACACCAGUGGCGAAGGCGGCUUACUGGCCCAUUACUGACGCUGAGGCGCGAAAGCGUGGGGAGCAAACAGG
rnacentral:rRNA from 1 species